rnacentral:tRNA from 1 species
CCUUCGAUAGCUCAGUUGGAAGAGCGUGGGACUGUAAUAGGUUAACACUUCGCUAUCCCAAGGUCACUGGUUCGACCCCGGUUCGAAGGA